GCCCCCGUAGCUCAGUGGAUAGAGCAAUGGCCUCCGGAGCCAUGAGCGCAGGUUCGAUCCCUGCCGGGGGUACAA
rnacentral:tRNA from 1 species